CCUACGGGGGGCAGCAGUGGGGAAUAUUGGACAAUGGGCGAAAGCCUGAUCCAGCCAUGCCGCGUGUGUGAAGAAGGCCUUCGGGUUGUAAAGCACUUUCAGUGGGGAAGAAAGCCUUGGGGCUAAUACCCUCGAGGAAGGACAUCACCCACAGAAGAAGCACCGGCUAACUCCGUGCCAGCAGCCGCGGUAAUACGGAGGGUGCGAGCGUUAAUCGGAAUUACUGGGCGUAAAGCGCGCGUAGGCGGUCUGAUAAGCCGGUUGUGAAAGCCCCGGGCUCAACCUGGGAACGGCAUCCGGAACUGUCAGGCUAGAGUGCAGGAGAGGAAGGUAGAAUUCCCGGUGUAGCGGUGAAAUGCGUAGAGAUCGGGAGGAAUACCAGUGGCGAAGGCGGCCUUCUGGAUUGACACUGACGCUGAGGUGCGAAAGCGUGGGUAGCAAACAGGAUUAGAUACCCGGGUAUC
rnacentral:rRNA from 1 species